AUGCUGCUCAGCCACCAAAUCUGGACACGCAACUCGCGAAACACCCUCCACGUAUCACCAGAGAACCGCCCUCGACGGCCAUCAACCGCUCACUCAACUGCCGCCUUGAAUCACCAUCAUCACAGUCGCAAAUCGCCCUUCCUCGCUGCCAACCAUCCACCGAAUUCGCACGCGCAGGUCCGCGUCAGGAACAACACCCAGAUCUUCCGUACUCGCCGCUCAGCCGUCAUCGUCGCCUUGUAG